GACGAACGCUGGCGGCGUGCUUAACACAUGCAAGUCGAACGGAAAGGCCUUGCGUUUGUGGCGUGCUGGAGUGCCGAACGGGGGAGUAACACGUGUGUAACCUGCGCUUGACUUUGGGAGAACUUAAGGAAACUGGGGUUAUUAUCGGAUAGGAGAUCCUGCUGCAUGGGGGUGGAGGGAAAAAUAUGGCGGUGUGGGAUGGACACGCGGCUUAUCGGUUUGUUGGUGGGGUGGUGACGUACCACGGCAUGGAGGGGUAGCCGGCCUGAGAGGGUGAGAGGGCACAAUGGGCCUCGGAGAGGGCCCAGACGGCAACGGGAGGCAGCAGUGGAAGAUAUUGCACAAUGGGCGGAAGGCUGAUGCAACGACUCCGCGUCCGUAAAGACGGCUUGUGGGGUGUAAACCGCGUUCGCCUGUGACGCAGCGUGAGUGACGGUAAUGAGUCAAGAAGCACCGGCUAACUACGUG
rnacentral:rRNA from 1 species